GUGAGGAAUAUUGGUCAAUGGGCGGGAGCCUGAACCAGCCAAGUCGCGUGAAGGAAGAAGGAUCUAUGGUUCGUAAACUUCUUUUGCAGGGGAAUAAAGUGCAGGACGUGUCCUGUUUUGUAUGUACCCUGAGAAUAAGGAUCGACUAACUCCGUGCCAGCAGCCGCGGUAAUACGGAGGAUCCGAGCGUUAUCCGGAUUUAUUGGGUUUAAAGGGUGCGUAGGUGGUUUGAUAAGUCAGCGGUGAAAGUUUGCAGCUUAACUGUAAAAAUGCCGUUGAAACUGUCGGACUUGAGUGUAAAUGAGGUAGGCGGAAUGCGUGGUGUAGCGGUGAAAUGCAUAGAUAUCACGCAGAACUCCGAUUGCGAAGGCAGCUUACUAAGCUACAACUGACACUGAAGCACGAAAGCGUGGGGAUCAAACAGGAUUAGAUACCCUUGUAGUCC
rnacentral:rRNA from 1 species